rnacentral:rRNA from 1 species
AAGUGGCGGACGGGUGAGUAACGCGUGGGUAACCUGCCUUGUACUGGGGGACAACAGUUGGAAACGACUGCUAAUACCGCAUAAGCGCACAGCUUCGCAUGAAGCAGUGUGAAAAACUCCGGUGGUACAAGAUGGACCCGCGUCUGAUUAGCUGGUUGGUGAGGUAACGGCCCACCAAGGCGACGAUCAGUAGCCGGCCUGAGAGGGUGAACGGCCACAUUGGGACUGAGACACGGCCCAAACUCCUACGGGAGGCAGCAUG